rfam:Habropoda laboriosa contig10460, whole genome shotgun sequence.
GUCAACGGUCAAACUGCGCAUGUAACUACCGGUUCUCGUCCGAUCACCGAAGUCAAGUUGCGUUGGGCACGGUUAGUACUUAGAUGGGUGACCGCUUGGGAACUCCGUGUGCUGUUGGCA